GAAGCCAAGGGAGGUUGCCACACGGACCGGUAAUGGCUUGAGUAGAAGAAUCAUUCUUUAGAGCAGCUGGAAGCAACUGUCCUUCCACCAACAUUUCAAGCGGCCACAGAACUCAGCUUGACCAGUGUUCAGAGAGAGGCCGGGACCCAGCCUGGGAAUGAUGGGAGGGUCAUGGUGAUGAAUACACGUAAACUCAUGGAUCAUAGCAGGCUGAUGAGAUGAAGAACAGCCCUCAUGGACAGGACUGCGCUGCUGCCAAAGAAGAUCAAGCUCACUCCCAAAGGACUACUGCGGAACAGUUUACAAGGUUCCCAAGACAGACCAUUCCCAUUGUCCAUUGAAGCUUCUUUCUUCAAUCAUGAAACCCAAGUCUCUUCUCUGAAAAUAUAUAAACAGUGCAAUGUGCAGGUACGCAGUUCAAGGACAACAAGCCAGUGACACUGUAAACACCAGGCCUGAUCAGAAGGAUUGAAUGAGAAAAAUAAACUCUCCUGUUGCGCCCACCUUGGCCGGCAAGGAAGACACAACACGGUCGGAUUCUUCUCAACAGCCUUUAUUGCAGGAACGCCUCGAUGCUGCUACGGGGACCCCGGGAACCCAGGGAGGUCUGUUUAUAUGCACCCCAGCACAGGGAAAGGCUUCGUGUCCUCCUGGGAUAGGUUGAACCGCUGUCACCUAAUUAGCAUGUACUCGCUCAGGAGGGGUUGGCGCCAGACUCGGGCUUAUGCCUGUGCAGUGG